rnacentral:lncRNA from 1 species
GAGAAUGUCAAUUUCUAUAAACUCCAUGGUCAGUUUGAAACAAUUUUUCACUUUUAACUUUGUUUCGAUUGUUGCAGUAGGAGAGAAUUUUGCUUGGAUCGAGUUGGUUUUCUGUCUUUGGUAUAUUCAUAAAUAGUGAAUGUUAAACAGUACCUAAGCCAGAAGGCACUAUAGAGCCCUGUGUACCUGCACACAUUGUCACCGUCACCUUAUUAAACAGGACACUGCCCUGUCUGUGAAAGCAAAUAGAAUGGUUCCACAGACAAUAUCCUUUAUUUCCACCUUUUCUGUCUUUCCAGUCUUUCUUGUCUGACUCUGUACUGUAAGAGAUAAGGCCGGGCUGCUAAAAAUUCACUCAUACCCUAGGUACAGGAGGCUGGUAAAAACAUUCACUCUGUCUUACAGUAAGUAAAUUCUCAGCAAUUCUUUGGUGAAAGGGUGGGUGGAUUAUUUGUGUGUUAGGUAUGGGUAUAAAUGAGUGAAUGAAAAGAGAAGUGGGCAGUGUACUGGCUGGGUUUCUGUCAUCAUUGCACAGGCUAGAGUCAUCACAGGAAGGAGCCUCGGUUGAGGAAAUGCCUCCAUGAGAUCCAGCUGUAAGGCAUUUUCCCAAUAGUGAUCAAUGGGGAUAGGCCCAGCCCAUGUUGGGUUCUGGGUUCUAUUAGAAGGCUAAGCAAAUCAUGAGAAGCAAGCCAGUAAGCAGCACUUCUCUGUGGCCUCUGCAUCAGCUCCUGCCUCCAGGUUCCUGCCCUGCUUGAGUUCCUGUCCUAACUUCCUCCUAUGAUGGACUAGGAUCUGGAAAUAUAAGCCGAAUAAACCCUUUCCUCCCCGACUUGGUUUUUGGUCAUGAUGCCUCAUCACAGCAAUAGAAACCCUAAUAGGCAGUGUGGAAAGCUAAAAUAUGGAAAUAAUUUGGAUUUUUUGUAUGCAAUUUAAUUAUCUCACUUUAUCUUCUCAGUUGUCUCAUGAUGUUGCAGAACAACAUUAAUAAGAUGCUGUGAAUGGAGAAAUUGAAACAGACUUCACAUGCCUCUUCUAAAGUUACACAACAAGUAUUACGUUACGUCAGUUAUAGAAUGUGAUCAAAAGAAUUGGAGCAUCCCUGUGUUUCUUUUCCUCAUAUCUCUUCUUCUUUCUUACCUGCUGGAUGCCCUCCCAAGUGCUGCUUGAUUUUUCUGCAGUCAUUUAUUAAGGGCGACAGGAAUCACAGAUGGUUAUAUUCUAACCCAUUUCCUUGGGGUUGUGUAUAAUCUUGGGUCUUAAUCUUAAUUCCAUGGCCUAUUGUGAGUGGGAGGUAGAGGGAAGAUUAGAAGGCAGUGGAUAAAACGAGAUGUCCAAUGGAGAUGAGCUCCUUUGUAGGCAAGGUGAAAUGUGAAAGCUAACCAGGAGAUACAAAUGAAAAUCAAUCAGAAGGCAGCCUUUUAACACAGAUCCUUAAGACAGUAAUCUGCUUUUGGGCCGUGCCUUACACGAGGAUUUCGGAAGCUAUUCUCUCAAGUGUGAGAUCAGUGGUUAUGACAUUAUGGAAAAUUCCUGCUGCAUUUCUUUUCUUUAGUCUGAUACGUCUUCUGAUAACAAGGUGGUCUGAAGUGAGAAAGCUGAUUUCACUUCUGUAAAUAUCUAAGAACUUUCUGGUAGCGUUGUUCUCUUUCUAAACUAUUUUAGCUUUUAAAGAUUUAUGUAUUUAAGCCGGGCGUGGUGGCACACACCUUGAAUCCCAGCACUUGGGAGGCAGAGGCAGGCGGAUUUCUGAGUUCGAGGCCAGCCUGGUCUACAGAGUGAGUUCCAGGACAGCCAGGGCUACACAGAGAAACCCUGUCUCAAAAAAACAAAAAAACAAAAAAAAAACAAAAAAAAAAAAACCAAAAAAAAAAAAAAAAAGAAAGAAAGAAAGAAAGAAAGAAGGAAAAAAAAUUUAUGUAUUUAUUUUAAGGGUAGAGAUAUUUUCCCAGCAUGUAUCUAUGUGUACCACAUGCAUGCCUGAUGCCUGCUGAGGUCAGAAGGGGCUGGUGGAUCCUCUGGAACCAGAGUUAAGAUGGUGGUAAGCAUGUGGGUGCUGGGAAUCAAACCCAAGAGCAAUGACUGCUCUAAACGGCUGAGCCGCCUUUGAGCCUUUGGAGAAUGUCCUUACAUUCAAGUAAGAUGGUUUUCUUAAUAACUGCUCAUGGAUUUUUUUUUACAUGUCUUCAUAAGAACAUUCUAAUUGUGGCACACACCUUUAAUCCCAGCACUCGUGAAACAGAGGCAGGUGGAUGUCUGAGUUCAAGGACAGCCUGGUCUACAGAGUGAGUUCCAGGACAGCCAGGGCUACACAGAGAAACUCUCUCUCUCAAAAAAAAAAAAAAAAGCAAAACAACAACAACAACAAAAACAACUAAAAAAUGUUAUAAUUGAUAUAAAAACGUUUGUAAAUAUUAAGCAGAACAAAGAAUGAAACGGUGCCACUGGCAAGAACACACACAGUGCUACGUAGGGAGCACCAUACCAAGUGAAAGAGACUUCUCUCAGAAAGACUUUGCUUACUCUAAAGGGAAAGAGGACGAUGCAAGGAAGGAGAGAGGCCUCCAGACACCCAAGUCUCAAAGCAGAUGUUACAUAGAUACCUGUUGUUGCCUCAUACUGCACGUGAUGUUCAGGAGAUGUUCAAAGUCUGUAGUGACUGGACACAUUAACCUUUAGCCAACUUGCAAAUGUUUUAAAACAGUUUAAAGGAUGCUGCCAAGCAACAGACUGGCUUGACAGACUGAAAAAAAAAAUUUAGAAAGAAAAAUAACUUCUGUCUUUAAACACGUUCUUUUUCUUGUUCCUAUUCUUAGGUAUAAUCUGUUGCUGUUCCUAUGAGGGAAAAGUAGAUCAGCACAGUAGAGAAGUGAGAAGAGCACGGAGAACACCGAGGUCCCACUAGUUCCAGGUGGAGGACUCUAACCGUCCUGAGCAGGUAGUCCUGAGUCAUGUGAGACAGCUGCCUGAGCGAGCCACAGAGAGCCAGCCAGUAAGCAGUGUUCUUCUGUGACUUCUGCUUCAGUUCCUGCCUGUAGGUUCCUGUCUGGAGUUCCUGCCCUUGCCUCAAAUGAUGGACUUAAAGCUGUAAGCUGAAGUGAGUACUUUAUCACAGCAAUGGAAAGCAACCCAGAGCAGUAUCUCAGUUACAGUACUGGGGUCACAGAUGAGUUGACGGUUUAACGUCCCCUCUGUUUUAUGAGAUGUUAUGGGGAGCACUGGGAAUAGCUCAUCUUUACAGCUCUGGUAGAACUCAGCACCAACUCUCUACAGUCCUGGACACUUUCUACUUGGGAGAUUCAGUCUUGUUGCCUGUUGUAGAUCUGUUUAAGUUGUUUAUAACCACAGGUUUCAUAUUGGUGGGUGAUACAUGUGCAGAAAUGUUGCCAUUUCAUCUACAUUUUCUAAUUUAUGGGACUAUGGUUCUCAAAGCAUUCCUUGAUUAUCCCCUAUAUAUCAAUAAUAUUUAUUGUUCUGCCUGUCCUUUUCAUCAUGAAUUUUGUUAGUUGCGAUUCUCUCUGUUUGCUAGUUUGUUCAGGAUUUGUUAAUCACGUUUAUCUUUUCAAAGAACCAUUGUUUGUUUCACUGAAUUCAUUUUAUUGCUCUUUCAGUCUCCAUGUCAUUGAUUUCUACCUUGAUUUUUUUUUUUUUCUUAUUUCUUUGCAUAGCUUGGGUUUUUCUUUAGUAGUUUGGGAUUUGACUUUUUGUUGUGUUUCUAAGACCAGGAAGUUUGUUAGUUGGUUAGAAAUGUCUGAUCUUGAAGAAAAUAUGUAAUAAAAAAAAGAAAAAAAAAAGAAAUGUCUGAUCUGUUGAUGUUGGGCCUCGAGCCUCUGCACACCCCUGUUAGGUCUCAUCCCAAAAGUUGGGGUAAGUGGUUUUCAUUUUUAUUCCAUUCUAGAGAGUCUAUCAUUUCUUUCAUUAUCUUUUCAGUGACUCGGCAACCAUUUCAGAAUAUAUCCAUGUGUUUGUAGACUUUCUCUUGCUGUUCUAGUUUUCUUCCAUUCCUGAUGAUAUAUAGGAAAUCAUUUCAAUUCUGAUUUAUGUUUUCAGACUUGCACAGACAGUACUCUAGUUUUUUUUAAAAAAGUUUUUUUUUAUCUUAUGUAUAUGAGUACACUGUAG